AGGAUUGUGCAGGAAUGUAGUGCUAUGGUACGGUUACGAGACAGCUACAUUAUAAAACAUGAGGAUAGUUGAAAUAGUACCCAUAUUUGUGAUACUCUGGGAAGUUGGAAUUCCUCGUGCACAGCCAGAUGAUACAUCAGACAAUGAGAACUUUGCCUGCUACAGAUGUGUAACAAAAGGAAGACUCUGAUGUUUGUGAAGAGAUAGACGAUAAAUGUGCUUACAAGAAGUGUGCUAAGAUAAAGUAUGAGGAGAACGGUGAAAUUAAGAUAAUAAGAGAGUGUACUCCCCACAAGAGCUCAGUAGCAGCGGAGAUAUGCAGUCAGUCAGAACCGUUAAAGAACAAGCCUUGCGACGCAUGGUUGUGUGAUAAACCACUGUGUAACGGAGGAGACCGUGUGAUAGCGCCGCCAGUCGGCGCUAACGGAGCCGCCCAGACCCUGCUCUCGACCAUUAUCUUCUUAACUUACUUCCUAGUGUACGGCUAGGGGGGCUUGUCAGUGGCUGGUUAAUGGCCGUUGCUAGGCUGAUCUUGUGGUGUAUAUAAUGUGGUUGAAUUGGUUGUGCUCUAGUUCAAAUUAUGGAGGUUGAGUUAGGAAGUGAAGAUAGAAGCUUAUGACUUGAGGUCAAUUAGUUCAUAACAACAUAUACUCGAUUUAUUGGAGCGGGCAUGGGAACUUCAGCUGAGGUCAGUGAAGGACGGAAAUGAAAGAGAAACUCUUCAAAUGAAAGCGAAACUCUUCAAAUGAAAUCGAAACUCUUCAAAAUGAUAAAACUAGAUUCAAAAUGAAAUUAAAAAUCAUAAAACUUGGGUGUACACCAGUGUCAGAAUAUUUUACAAUGUGAGUUUAAUCAAUUAAUUAAUCAAACGGAUCACUGACGUUGGUUAAAAGCUAACUAACUGUUUAUAACGAAUCAUCUGGAGGUUAAACCGGGAAACUACUGAUCAUUGGUAGGAUUAUGUGCUGGAUUACCGGCGGGGAGGCGAUGUCAAUUAGUACGGGAAGGAAAAUGGUAUUCUUCCCCGGCUCCAACAGUUCUAGUUCAUUUUGAGGGAUAAAUUUACAGUUAUUUCAUGACAAGUGUUUAUUAGUAAUUUAUCUUAUUUUAGUUACUCGGGCGUUCCUAAGGCGUUCCUAAGGCGUUGCUAAGGCGUUAUUAAGACGUUGUUAAGGCGUUGCUAAGGCGUUGCUAAGGCGUUGUUAAGGCGUUGUUAAGGAGUUUCUAGUGUGUUUCACAAAAGAUCUCCUGGUUUUGCGUUGUUGAAUAUUUUAAAUUUACGAGGCAGAUAUAUAUCUGUAGUAUAUCAUGUAAAAAUAUUUAAGAGUGAAUAUCCCAGAAUUUUUCACAAAAAAACAAAUGAACGCUAAUUUCAUUUGGUAUCUUUGUACCUUUGUAUGCAAAGAUAAAAUUACUUUAAGUUUCUAAGAGACCAAUAAAGAUGCGAAACUGGAAAUCCUUACAAUUCCAGCCCUCCUUACAGAGGUUUUGAGGGUAAAAUGUUGUGUCGUUUUUAUCUUAAAGUUAACGGCUUUACUUUUUCCUAUUGAAAUUAAUUUAUUUUUCUAAGAACG